UGGGGAAUUUUGGACAAUGGGGGAAACCCUGAUCCAGCCAUCCCGCGUGUGCGAUGAAGGCCUUCGGGUUGGAAAGCACUUUUGGCAGGAAAGAAACGUCAUGGGUUAAUACCCCGUGAAACUGACGGUACCUGCAGAAUAAGCACCGGCUAACUACGUGCCAGCAGCCGCGGUAAUACGUAGGGUGCAAGCGUUAAUCGGAAUUACUGGGCGUAAAGCGUGCGCAGGCGGUUCGGAAAGAAAGAUGUGAAAUCCCAGAGCUCAACUUUGGAACUGCAUUUUUAACUACCGGGCUAGAGUGUGUCAGAGGGUGGUGGAAUUCCGCGUGUAGCAGUGAAAUGCGUAGAUAUGCGGAGGAACACCGAUGGCGAAGGCAGCCUCCUGGGAUAACACUGACGCUCAUGCACGAAAGCGUGGGGAGCAAACAGG
rnacentral:rRNA from 1 species